CCUACGGGAGGCAGCAGUGAGGAAUGUUGGUCAAUGGACGAGAGUCUGAACCAGCCAAGUCGCGUGAAGGAUGACUGCCCUAUGGGUUGUAAACAUCUUUUAUAUGGGAAUAAAACAUGGUAUGCAUACCCUCUUGUAUGUACCUUAUGAAUAAGGAUCGGCAAACUCCGUUCCAGCAGCCGCGGUAAUACGGGGGAUCCGAGGGUUAUCCGGAUUUGUUGGGUUUAAAGGGAGGGCAGGCGGAAGAUCAAGUCAGCGGUAAAAUUGAGGGGCUCAACCUCGUCGAGCCGUUGAAACUGGUGUUCUAGAGUGAGCGAGAGGUAGGCAGAAUGCGUGGUGUAGCGGUGAAAUGCAUAGAUAUCACGCAGAACUCCGAUUGCGAAGGCAGCAUACCGGCGCUCAACUGACGCUCAGGCACGAAAGUGUGGGGAUCGAACAGGAUUAGAUACCCUGGUAGUC
rnacentral:rRNA from 1 species